UAAUCACCUAAUGCCCAAACCCUAGACCACGGGAGCAGAGCGGCAGGCGCGGCGUGCGGCGCGGUGUGUUGCGGCAGGCGCGGCGUGCGGCGCCGGCGCGGCCGCGCGACUCGUGGGGCGGCAGGCGGCUGCCGGCUGCCGGCUGGGCGCACCGGACCUGACCGGCGCAGGGCGGCAGGCCCCACGAGCAGGUCCGCCAUCCGCGGCGCGUCGCGGCUCAGGCCACUGCCGACGGGCAGGGCCGUAGCCCCCAGUGCAGCAACGCGUCAUCUCGCCAUCUCUUUGUCAGUAGUUCCAAUGCCGCUAAUCAUUAUUUGCUACGGAUUUAAAUUGUGUUAGUGUGACUUGAUCAAUAGAGCUAUAAGGUCACCCUGGUACUGUUAGGCAUUUAGGCCGGCUUGCCAUUGGUCAAGAAUCUAGAGGCAUUAAUCCCAUUCCCAUAUUGUUGGAUUUUUAGGUCUAAAAUAUGAAGAGAAAAAAUGGUCUUGCUCUUGAACAAUUGUUCAUGAAUUCUAAAUCAGUAAUUCAUGAGUCCCUUGCCUCAAACACUGCACAAUUUUCAAUCAUCUAUAUAUUUCACAUAUUGCCACUCUUAUGUGUUGAACAAUUGUCAAAUACUCCUUUUUGUCCUAUAAUAUGAGGGAUUUUGGCUAUGCAUAUAGCCAAAAUCUCUUAUAUUAUGGGACGGUUUAGUACUUUCUAUUUGUACAAUUAGUAGUUUAAAUCAAGUAUAUAAUUAUAUGAAAUUAUACCUAAUUCAUGUUACAUAAUUUGUAGUUUAGUACUAUGUGAUACAUGCUAAAAAAAUUACUCCUUCACAUUUCGAAUACCCAACCUAAAAAUCCUAGGCCCGCCACUGCAUGGGAUGGGAGCAGAUUAGCUUUUCCGGAUACUCCCUCUCGGUUUGCCUUGGUUUUUUUUUCUUACUUCCCAUUGGGUACUGCACAAUUUGUAUAUUGGAUUUUACCUGUUUCAGUCAGUCAAACAUUUAUACUUAAAACUAUAUCAAUACAAAAGCUUUUUAAGUACUAAAGUUAUUUUGAGAUAUCAAGUAUUAGCAUUUGUUUAUGUUUCACUCUUUUAAAACGGUCCAUAAAUAAGCAAAGCACGGGUUAUUUAAUGGUGGCCACCAGGGUUUAAAAGUCAAAUCCUACUGCCAAUAAAAUAUUAUGCACAGGCCAGUGCACUUUCAACACUGUUUUAAUGAGGGUAGAUAAAAUACCAUUAAACUUUAUGCCACAAAUGAAAGUACAUCUUCAUAACUUAUUUUUGUGAUUAAUGAUGACAUUUUUAAGAAUGCUCUACUGUUGCCUGAGUGCUUCAAAGGAAAAUGGGGUUCUGGGUUAUUUGAUGGAAGAAAAGACAUGAUCCUAGACAAUGGUAAUUCUUGUAUGUAUUUAUUUCUUGAGUCUAGAUAACGUACAGAGAAUAUAGUGCUCAAUAUCAAGUUUUCUCUAAGUUUGAGUUGAUUUAUGGUCGGAAUUUCUGACACUAGUCGGAGUAUUUAACGCAUCAUAAUUUCCUUUUUUCACGGUGAACUCGAGGCUCUGUUUGUGUUUUGUUGAAAGUGAUCAUAGUAUAGGCUCUGUUUGUAUUUUGUUGAAAGUGAUCAUAGCAUCUGAUGUAACAUUGGAAAAUCCGAUCAAUCAGGCUAUAUGUUUUUGCAAGGAACUGGAUCUAUGUUUAACUUCAAACAUUCGAUCAAAAACUUCUUACGUUGAAUCAGAAUGUCCAACAUCCCAGGCAAUCCGAUAUUGCAAAGAAAUUGGCUCUCAGGUCGAGGCAACAUUAUGAAUUAUAAUAUCCAACUUAGUAGUCUGAAACUUAGUAGUCUGAAGAUCAAAUGGUCGAAAUAUUCACUUUUCCUUGUAACCCAAGUCUCUGUUUGGAUUUAUUUCUUCAAUCUGAGUUUCCAAUUAUUAAUUGGAAUAUCUGAUCAGUAUUUUUUUUUUAUGGAAUGGGAUUAUGUUUUAGACAUUAGAGACCUGAUAUGUUGAUCGAAUAUAUAACCUUCAAGUCAGAAUAUCCGAGGUGUGAUGAAAGAUCCUCCCACCCCAUAAUGGGCAGAUUUAGGGUGAUGAAAGAUCCUCCCACCCCAUAAUGGGCAGAUUUAGGGUUUCCUAUAUAAGUCCCAACUCUCACUGGCUCUAUACUAGGGUAAGUCUUUCGCUUCAUUCAAAAUAUUCUUGGCUUCAAGCAUGAUGUUGGAGUGCUUUUAGCUCUUUUCACCGCCUCUCUCGAACCCUUCUCUGCUUUUGUUAUUUGGAUACGGAUUUGGAGUUUUGAAUCUAGUGAUUGUUCUUCUCUCAUGGAUCUUGAACACUAGGUUUUGAUUCCAAACGAUUAUGUAGGAUAUGUUAUUCUUGGAGGUCGAGGACACCUGUAGCAUCAUCUGAACACCCAUUCACGGGUAGGGCACCAAAAGAAGUUUGAAGGAUCCACAAGAGUGUGACAUGUUGAACAGGUCUGAUCACCACAACCAUUGACAGUAACCAAGAAGAGGAGGCCUAGGGUGAUUGCAAGGGCUAGGGAUGCUGAACCAAAAGGUUGAUGGUUGCGUAUGUACACUUGUGAAAGGUGUGCAAAUUGCUACUACCUCUGCCACAGAAUAUAAGAAGUUUUACAGUUGGAUAUGGUUAUUAAAAAAGUAGGUGGAAUUAAAUUGGAAGAUGCUGUGAUUGGUUAAAAAGUAGAUGACGGUGGAAAAAGUGAAUGGUGGAAGGUUGUGACUGGUUGGAAAGAGAAUUUUUUUAGUGAAGUUGGGAAGAGAAUGUUGGUAGAGAAGUUGUCAUGUUUUAGGAUAAAUCCUGAAUGCUAAAAGUUGUUAUAUUAUUGUGAGUAAAUUGCACCCAUGGUAUAACAACUUGGCAGAUUGGUGCGAUAUAGUGCAAGAACUUGAGAAUUAAACGUCCGAGUGCAAUAACUUGACAAGUAGGUGCGUUUUAGUACAAGAACUUAACAAUUUAGUAUUUUUGUGCAUCAACUAGGCUAAGCAUAUGCUAGGUGAGUUUUUUUUCUCGAUGUCAAUAUGCCAUUACAUAAUAAUCAUACGGAUAUUAUCUUAUAAUAUUGAAUUUAAUCUUUAAAACUUAUGUAGUACAAUUUACAUCUAAUUUACUUUAAGAACUUUUUUAGUUUUCUUCACCUUCUCAAAUAUCAACCAAAAUAUAAUAAUUUCUAUAUCCGGAUUAAUUGACUUUUAAUUAUUAGUUAUUAGGAUAAAAAUAUAAAUAUACUUAUACAAAUCCAUGAUAGUAUAUUGUCAAAAUAAGUACUUAAAAAUGAAUUUAUAUAAAAAAUGCUCCAAAUAAUUAAGUUGCCGCAUAACCUUUUUAUUUGUUCUAUGAAAAUCGUACCUAACUUGCAAGUUGUUGUAUUUAUAGGAUCACUUAUAAAAUUCUUAUACUAAAUUGCACAUACCUAUUAAGUUGUUGUAAAUGAUUAUUUCUCAAGUUAUUGCACCAAAUUACAUCUACCUGCCAAGUUGAUGUACCGUGGAUGUAAUUUACUCUAUUAGAUGAGUACAAAGCUUUUACAUGUUACCUAUCAGCUUUGUGUUUUGCUUCACUAAGGUGAGAUAUAUAUAUUUAUAGACAAAUCUAGUGAAGCAUGGUAGCAUUCAAAAACUGUGGAUCAUUGUGCUCACAGGAGGAGGUGAUCAGAAUAUAAUGAGGUGUCUAUAAA